rnacentral:rRNA from 1 species
UAGGGAAUCUUCCACAAUGGACGAAAGUCUGAUGGAGCAACGCCGCGUGAGUGAAGAAAGGGUUUCGGCUCGUAAAGCUCUGUUGGUAGUGAAGAAAGAUAGAGGUAGUAACUGGCCUUUAUUUGACGGUAAUUACUUAGAAAGUCACGGCUAACUACGUGCC